rnacentral:lncRNA from 1 species
AUGGGCGGCUGCUUAGGGCUGGGAGGGCUGGGCACGGGGCACAGGGGCUCUUCAGUUUGCUCCUCGUUUUCUGAUGACCCUGGGACUUCCCUUUCCUUUCACGGGAGCUGUUUGUGCCGCAUUCGAGCAGCCUUUCUGCCCGUGGCCGUGGCCGGCUUCUGGUCCUUCCCCGCACGGCGCCAGGCGCGGAGCAAGCCGACCCCUCCCGGGCCGUCGCGCCCGUGCGCCGAGCCUCGGGGCCCACGGAGGCCACGACCCUCCGCGGACCGGGAAGGCCCGCGGGCCGCGCAGCCAACACGGCCGGGCCGCGGUCCCGGGCUCUGGGGGGCGCCCACAAAGCCAGCCCGGGACCCCCGAGGCCGCACAGUGCGCCGCACCUCUGCCCCCCCCCCACCGCCGGCGGUGUCCCCAGCUGACCUUCGCCCCGACGCCGCCGGCCGGGGCCUGCGGAGGGGCCGCCUCCCGGGCGGGGGCGCGGGGCCGGGCGCGGCCUCCCCCGCGGGCCUCACCGCAGCCUGGUGCACCCGAGCCCGCAAGCCGCGCACUUUCCCCAUCUCGCCCGCGGAGACCCACAGCCCAGCCGGAAGCCGCGGGCACACGCGCCACAAGCCCCCGGAAGUCGGUCCCGCGUGCUGGGGGCCCGGCGGAAACAGGAGCCCGGCCGCUGGGAUCCGCUCUUCUCCCGGCGCCCGACGCGCAGGCCACCGGAAGGGCGGGACGGAGCCGCAGAAGGGCGCGGCUGCAGCUGGAGGAGCGGGGCCGAGGGGUCCCGCCUCCGACCCCGCCCGGCUUCCCGGGGCGGGGGCGGCUAAUUGUCGGAAUCUGUGCAGCCUUGAUAACUGGGGAGUGAUGGACACAGCGCUGGGGGGGUUCACGCUUGUUGAAAUACACAACAAACUUGGGUUUGCUUCUGCCUGUCAGAGAUGCCCGGGAGUAGCGGGAAGACUGGGGGCUGGGGGCACCUCAGAGACAUCAGGCCAGGACUUACAGGGGCGACUUUACAGAAGUGCCCCUGGAAGAAACCCAGAAACCAGCUCUCAAGCUCAGUACCCCAACUCUGUCAAUGGCCCCGCUAUCACCACCUGCGCAGUGGCCAGGGUGGGUGUCUAA